ensembl:lncRNA novel transcript, antisense to KIF27
GGGCAGGCUCGCGCCGGGCGGGGGUCGCGGUCGGCCCACAGGCUGGGCACUAACGGGUCCCGGGGCGCCGGGGCGGACCGCGGAGGUCGUAGUGGACUAAUUUUACAGGCGAAGUUAAGUGACUUACCCAAAACCUCACAGCUAAUAAACGGCAGAGCCGGCACCCAGCUGUACUGGCUUCCAAUUCUGUUAGCUUACCAGCGCAUCACAUUAUCUCCAUAAAUCCCCAUGAUUCAACUAAUAUUAGACGCCCCACAGCUGGACCCUGGACACGGUGACUCUGAUUCAAUUAUGCAGAUGACCACAAACCUCUGGGGUUGGCAGAGCCACAAGAAAGAAGGUGCCUGGAUGAAGGAGAGCUACCCACUGACCUGGACACCCAAUUAUGUCAUAGGUGCUGUGAUCUAGAGACAAAAUGUUCCUUACACUGGCAGAUACUUGCAAACUAAGGGGAAUGAGCUUCCUUCUGAAUGUUUAUGAAGGAGAGGCCACUGUGUCAUCUGUCUUAGAGCUAUUGGAAUCCUGGAUCAUUGUGGGAAAUGAAAGGAACUGGUUUUUAGCAAGGAGACCAAGAAACUCUACUCCCUAGGGGCUAGCAAUGAGAGAAAGGAAGCCUUAAGUCUUUGAGCACAGGGUGACAGUUUGGGUCCUAUGUGAGAUGAUCAAAUCCACAGCAACAGAGGAAAGGACAAAAGGAAAAGAUACUUCGAUGGAAUCAGCAGCCAUUGAUCCAAUGCCAACUCCAAGACUGGAACGUCGCAAUGAUAGUUCCAAGGCGGAAAUUUGACGUAAUUCUUUUCGACACAGUUUUACAGGUCUGGAUGCCCAUUUUAAUUCUUCUGAAAGCAUGCCUCCUCCUUCUGGCUUCAGGACUCCAUCUCCAGCCUCUUGAUCUAAAAAUAAUCCCCAAACCAAAAAAUUAGAUACUAUUUCCUCAAAAUUAGGUAUUUUAAUCAAAACAUCUUAACAUAAAUACAUUAUUAUCACCCAA